AAGCAGAGAUUAGACCUCGUACCUUUUGCAUCAUGACUUAGCUAGUACCCCCAAGCAAAGAGUACCUUUAGUUUGAUACCCCGAAACUAACGUGAGCUACUCCAAGACAGCCUGUUUACAGGGCAAACCCGUCUCUGUGGCAAAAGAGUGGGAAGAGCUUUGAGUAGAGGUGACAGACCUACCGAACUUAGUUAUAGCUGGUUGCCUGAGAACUGGAUAGAAGUUCAGCCUCCCGGCUUCUCCAUUCAUACAUUAUUCUAAAUGAUUACCCCUAGAUGAAAAGAAACCGCGAGAGUUACUCAAAGGAGGUACAGCUCCUUUGAACCAAGAUACAACUUUCUAAGGAGGGUAAAGAUCAUAAUCUAACAAGGCAAAAUGUUCCGGUGGGCCUAAGAGCAGCCACCCCCCUAGAAAGCGUUAAAGCUCAGACAUACCCUUUCGCCCCAUAUUCCGAUAACCCAAUCUUAGCCCCCUAAUCCUAUCAGGCCGCCCCAUGCAAACAUGGGAGCGACCAUGCUAACAUGAGUAAUAAGAGGAUGGCCUACGCCCCUCUCCUAGCACACGUGUACAUCGAAACGGACCCGCCACCGAAACUUAACGGCCCCAAACAAAGAGGGAAUUGAAAAACAAACACAACAUACUAGAAAACCACCCAACACAUAACCGUUAACCCCACACUGGUGUGCUCGAAGGAAAGACUAAAAGAAAAAGAAGGAACUCGGCAAACAUAAGCCUCGCCUGUUUACCAAAAACAUCGCCUCUUGUACAACCCACACAAAUAAGAGGUCCCGCCUGCCCAGUGACAACUGGUUCAACGGCCGCGGUAUUUUGACCGUGCGAAGGUAGCGUAAUCACUUGUCUUUUAAAUGAAGACCUGUAUGAAUGGCAUGACGAGGGCUUAACUGUCUCCUUUUUCAAGUCAAUGAAAUUGAUCUCCCCGUGCAGAAGCGGGGAUAAAAACAUAAGACGAGAAGACCCUAUGGAGCUUUAGACACCAGGAUAGCUCAUGUUAAGACACCCUGAAUAAAGGACUGAACUUAUUGACCACCUACUCCAAUGUCUUCGGUUGGGGCAACUAUGAGGAACAAAAACCCCUCACGUGGAAUGGGAGCACUACAACCCACUAUUAUUUUCUUCCCCUCCUGCAACUAAGAGCCACAGCUCUACCUAACAGAAAUUCUGGCCAACAAUGAUCCGGCAAUGCUGAUCAACGGACCAAGUUACCCUAGGGAUAACAGCGCAAUCCCCUUUUAGAGCCCAUAUCGACAAGGGGGUUUACGACCUCGAUGUUGGAUCAGGACAUCCUAAUGGUGCAGCCGCUAUUAAGGGUUC
rnacentral:rRNA from 1 species